GAUGAACGCUGGCGGCGUGCCUAAUACAUGCAAGUAGAACGCUGAAGGAGGAGCUUGCUCUUCUGGAUGAGUUGCGAACGGGUGAGUAACGCGUAGGUAACCUGCCUGGUAGCGGGGGAUAACUAUUGGAAACGAUAGCUAAUACCGCAUGACAACAGUUAUUGCAUGAUAACUGUUUAAAAGGGGCAACUGCUCCACUACCAGAUGGACCUGCGUUGUAUUAGCUAGUUGGUGAGGUAACGGCUCACCAAGGCGACGAUACAUAGCCGACCUGAGAGGGUGAUCGGCCACACUGGGACUGAGACACGGCCCAGACUCCUACGGGAGGCAGCAGUAGGGAAUCUUCGGCAAUGGACGGAAGUCUGACCGAGCAACGCUGCGUGAGUGAAGAAGGUUUUCGGAUCGUAAAGCUCUGUUGUAAGAGAAGAACGAGUGUGAGAGUGGAAAGUUCACACUGUGACGGUAUCUUACCAGAAAGGGACGGCUAACUACGUG
rnacentral:rRNA from 1 species